ACCGCGCGCUGCUUCCGGCCCUUCGAGCGGCCCCGGCGGGAGCGGCGCCUCCGGCGGCGGUGAGCCCUGAGCGGGCCGAGGGAGGGAUGGGGCUGCCCGGGGGCCAUUCUGGAUUUCCUUAGGCUAUAAAAACGUUUAAGCCUCUAAACAUAUCAGACCUGUUUUCCUGCAUUCCACAUCUACAGCUUACCUGUACCCUAAAGAACAUAAAGGAAACAGAUAAGUGUCAAGAAGCCUUCAGUGGUACUUCUUCCAUGGAGAAUGUGUGGAAAAAUGCAAAUGCUGUGCACGUGUGAAAGAGAGGCCAGACUCAAAGCUGUUCCUGAAUGUUGAUCCUUAACACUAUCAGAGUGAUAAACUUCUCCUCUUUGUCAGAAAUGUCACCUUAGAGGUGAAGUGAGUAGCAGCUGUGAGUCACAGUGGCAGUGCAGGCUCUGUCGAUGGGAACUUGUUUUCUCACCGUCUGUUCCAUGAGCUGCCAUCCCCCACAGCUCCUCAGACUGCUGUCUGCACGGACCACGCAGUCAGGACUGAACUCAGCUGGGAGUAGUUUUAUGUGUGCCUACUGAGUGAGGGCUGCGCUUCUGGUUUCUGUUGAAAUCCAAACCCAUUUUGUUAGCUUUUCCUUACAGAAGAACAAGAACGCUUGGCCCUCUGUUGGCUUUGCCCUUUUUCACACAAGCUCUUGACAUAGAAGUUUUCUCCUUUGGUCUCUCAGGUCCUUUACUGUGAAUAAUAAUCCAUGUUUCCUGUUUUUAUUAUUAUUAUUUCUUUUCUACACAGGCUUUAAGAGCAGUAGAGCUUUCCCUGUCUGUAGAGCUAAUCUGCAGUGCUGAAAGCUGUGGAUGCUGGUUUGGCUGCCUGUCUGCAAAAGAAAAGGGAGACCUAUCAAUCAACAAGAAAUGCUGAGAGCAGCAAAUGAAACUCUUUGCUUUUUCCAUUGGGCAACAAGGGCCUCUCAGGAUUAAACCUCUUCUAAAUUUAGCUACAUCUCACUAGAGUUAGGAUCAGGAGUUAUCAGAAGGCAAUGACGUCUGUCCUCUGGAAGUCUGAGUCCUGGCAUGCACCUCUCGUACUCUGUGCUGCAGCAGGUUGGAGCUGGGAACAUUCUGCACAGCAUGGGACUCUUCAGACGUGGCAGGAUUUCUCAGAGCACUUGAAAUACAUACUCUCAGCUGCCUGCUUGUGUUUAUUAUUCUGUCCAGGUCCUGAGCAAAACUUGUUCAUGCUCUGAAAUGGACAUCAUGGGAGAGCAGAAUGGUUAAGCCAUGUGAAACAUUCUGCUGCUUUUUUUUGUUGUUGUUGUUCUUAAUAUGUGUAAGACUUGCACAGACCUUCUUUUCUAUUGGUAUUAAAUAUCACAUUCCAAUGCAAC
rnacentral:lncRNA from 7 species